GGUUGCUCACAUCAGAGAGAAUAAAGUUACUUCCGAGAUUUAAAGGUGAGACAGUGUCAACAUGUGAUUGCCUGCUCUGUAUCAUGUCAAGAGAUAAAUCCAAAUCUAUAAACCUUCAGGAUGUAUUAAACAUGUACAUUAAUGACCCUGAAGUACCAAAGGAGGUCAUAGAUAAA
rnacentral:lncRNA from 1 species